AAAGUCGUAACAAGGUUUCCGUAGGUGAACCUGCGGAAGGAUCAUUAAAAAGUAAUGGCCCGCGAGGGCCAGGCAGCCUUCCCCCCCCGCCCUCACCGGCGGAAGGGGUCGGACGGCCUAAACCCCAUGUGAAAAGCCCCAGUUGCUUCGGCAGCUCGCCCCUCCCGUCUUCACCGGCGGGUCCGGCGGUCAGCCUGCCGACGGCACCCAGGAAACCCUUUGCCUGAAAGGAAGCCUGAUACACCGUCUGAGCGCGAAGUCUAAUGACUAUAAAACUUUCAACAACGGAUCUCUUGGUUCCC
rnacentral:misc_RNA from 1 species